AUAUAAGCAAAAUUGACUUUUUAGGUUCAUUCAAUUAAUGAUGUAUGUGGUUCAUAUUAUAGACCAAAUACAUCAUUCAUUGAAUGAACCUAAAAAGUCAAUUUUGCUUAUAU
rfam:Medicago truncatula strain A17 chromosome 7, whole genome shotgun sequence.